CUGGCUCAGGAUGAACGCUAGCGACAGGCUAACACAUGCAAGUCGAGGGGCAGCAUAAAAGUAGCAAUACUUGGUGGCGACCGGCGCACGGGUGAGUAACGCGUAUGCAACCUACCUAUCAGAGGGGAAUAACCCGGCGAAAGUCGGACUAAUACCGCAUAAAACAGGGGCACCGCAUGGUGAUAUUUGUUAAAGAAAUUCGCUGAUAGAUGGGCAUGCGUUCCAUUAGGUAGUUGGUGAGGUAACGGCUCACCAAGCCGACGAUGGAUAGGGGAACUGAGAGGUUGGUCCCCCACACUGGUACUGAGACACGGACCAGACUCCUACGGGAGGCAGCAGUGAGGAAUAUUGGUCAAUGGGCGGGAGCCUGAACCAGCCAAGUCGCGUGAAGGAAGAAGGAUCUAUGGUUCGUAAACUUCUUUUGCAGGGGAAUAAAGUGCAGGACGUGUCCUGUUUUGUAUGUACCCUGAGAAUAAGGAUCGGCUAACUCCGUGCCAGCAGCGGC
rnacentral:rRNA from 1 species